UGAUGUGAUGAUUUCAAAGAUAUUUUUUUCAGACGUUAGACUUCCUAAUUAAUAAUUUGAGGAUAAUGUCUUAGAUAUCUGAUU